UAUCAUUCUAUGAAGAGAAUAGUAACAUAAGUUUAGGUAAAAGAGAGUCAGCGGCUGGUGGAAGUUGAUACCCACACUUUUGUGAAUCCAUCUUGGAGAUUUACUGCGAUGAGUAGUACGGAAAAUCCGUUAUUUUAAUGAGUGGAUUAUAUUUUUAUAUAAUCAAUGAGGGUGGUAACGCGAGCCAAUCGUCCCUAAG
rnacentral:ncRNA from 1 species